GACGAACGCUGGCGGCGUGCUUAACACAUGCAAGUCGAACGAGACGAUUGAAAGCUUGCUUUUGAAAGUCGAGUGGCAAACGGGUGAGUAACGCGUAGACAACCUGCCUUUGAGAUGGGGACAACAGUUCGAAAGGACUGCUAAUACCGAAUGUUGUAUAUUUUCCACAUGGAAGAUAUAUUAAAGAUGGCCUCUAUUUAUAAGCUAUCGCUCAAAGAUGGGUCUGCGUCUGAUUAGCUGGUUGGUGGGGUAACGGCCUACCAAGGCGACGAUCAGUAGCCGGUCUGAGAGGAUGAACGGCCACAUUGGGACUGAGACACGGCCCAGACUCCUACGGGAGGCAGCAGUGGGGAAUCUUCCACAAUGGACGAAAGUCUGAUGGAGCAACGCCGCGUGAGUGAAGAAGGGUUUCGGCUCGUAAAGCUCUGUUGUCGGGACGAAUGUGCAGUAUUUGAAUAAAGUACUGUAAUGACGGUACCUGACGAGGAAGCCACGGCUAACUACGUGCCAGCAGCCGCCGCCG
rnacentral:rRNA from 1 species